rnacentral:rRNA from 1 species
GUCCACGCCGUAAACGAUGUCGACUAGCCGUUGGGCCCUUCUAGGGCUUAGUGGCGCAGCUAACGCAUUAAGUCGACCGCCUGGGGAGUACGGCCGCAAGGUUAAAACUCAAAUGAAUUGACGGGGGCCCGCACAAGCGGUGGAGCAUGUGGUUUAAUUCGAUGCAACGCGAAGAACCUUACCUACCCUUGACAUCCUGCGAACUUUCUAGAGAUAGAUUGGUGCCUUCGGGAGCGCAGAGACAGGUGCUGCAUGGCUGUCGU